CAGGAUCCCCCAGAAGUGUCCGCGGGGGCUUCCCUUCUGGAAUGGAGCCCUGGACGGGGGUGGAGGCGCCGCCUUUGGGAUGUUCAGUUGGCUCUGGCUUGUGCCGGUCUUCCCCUCACCUCUCCCUCCUCUUUCUGACACAUCAAACCAUCUGGGUUUCAAGUAAUAACACCUGCAAUCAUGCUGAGCAACAGAAACUCCUUCACCUUCUGAGGAUCCCUGGAAUCUGGUAUUAAAGAUGUCCGAGCAUCGAAAAGACCCAGCCAAAU